rnacentral:rRNA from 1 species
CCUACGGGGGGCAGCAGUGGGGAAUAUUGCACAAUGGGGGAAACCCUGAUGCAGCGACGCCGCGUGAGUGAAGAAGUAUUUCGGUACGUAAAGCUCUAUCAGCAGGGAAGAAAAUGACGGUACCUGAUUAAGAAGCCCCGGGUAACUACGUGCCAGCAGCCGCGGUUAUACGUAGGGGGCAAGCGUUAUCCGGAUUGACUGGGUGGAAAGGGAGCGUAGACGGCAGCGAAGUUCUGGAGGGAAAUGCCGGGGCUUAACCCAGGAACUGCUUUGGAAACUGUGCAGCUAGAGUGCAGGAGAGGAGAGUGGAAUUCCAAGUGUAGCGGUGAAAUGCGUAGAUAUUAGGAGGAACACCAGUGGCGAAGGCGGCUUACUGGACUGUAACUGACGUUGAGGCUCGAAAGCGUGGGGAGCAAACAGGAUUAGAUACCCUGGUAGUC